UACGUAGGGUGCGAGCGUUAAUCGGAAUUACUGGGCGUAAAGCGUGCGCAGGCGGUUCGUUGUGUCGGUGGUGAAAGCCCCGGGCUUAACCUGGGAAUGGCCGUCGAAACUGGCGAACUGGAGUGUGGCAGAGGGGGGUGGAAUUCCGCGUGUAGCAGUGAAAUGCGUAGAGAUCAGCAGGAACACCCGUGGCGAAGGCGGCCCCCUGGGCCGUACCUGACGCUGAGGCGCGAAGGCUAGGGGAGCGAACGGG
rnacentral:rRNA from 1 species